GACGAACGCUGGCGGCGUGCUUAACACAUGCAAGUCGAACGGGAUCCAUGUUGUAGCAAUACUUCGGAAGAUCUAGUGGCGAACGGGUGAGGAACACGUGAGAAACCUGCCCCGAACUUCGGGAUAACAGUUGGAAACGACUGCUAAUACCGAAUACCUCUGCGAAGUGGCAUCACUUCGCAAAGAAAGAAUUUCGGUUCGGGAGGGUCUCGCGGCCUAUCAGCUAGUUGGUGGGGUAGCGGCCUACCAAGGCAUCGACGGGUAGCUGGUCUGAGAGGAUGAUCAGCCACACUGGGACUGAGACACGGCCCAGACUCCUACGGGAGGCAGCAGUGGGGAAUCUUGUGCAAUGGGCGAAAGCCUGACACAGCAACGCCGCGUGCGGGAAGAAGGCCUUCGGGUCGUAAACCGCUUUCAGCAGGAACGAAAAUGACGGUACCUGCAGAAGAAGGUGCGGCCAACUACGUGCCAGCAGCCGCCGUAA
rnacentral:rRNA from 1 species